AUUUAUAUAGUUUAAAUAAAACAUUACAUUUUCACUGUAAAAAUAAUAUUUCUAUAUUUAUAAAUA
rnacentral:tRNA from 2 species